rnacentral:lncRNA from 1 species
AAAAUGUCUUCCUUCGACGAUCAUAGCUAAAGUUUACUUUGCGUGUUCCUUGAAUGAAUGCACGAGUGUACCUGCGAAUGUACGCCGGCUUUAGCGAACGGGUUCGCUUCAUAGCGGAGCUUCGACUCUUCUUCUUCUUCUUCUUCUUCCCAAUUUCCCUGCCUACACCAGCUUCGCUUUGUGUAUUCCAGAGAAGAAAAUAGAAGUUAUCGAAACAUCCGUUGAGUCGACGCGUUGCACCAAGACUUCAGCGAAUUAUGCCCAACAAGCGAAGAAGCUAGAUUGUGCCUUGCUCACUACACACUCAUUAAUAAGAAUUAUGCUGGGCGAGACAGCGACCGUUGGUUGCCACUUUUGCUUGUCUCAUUGUCUGGUGUACUAGUCACUGAAGCCCCGCGGGAGGGAAAGGCAAGAACUUGGUAUCUGUAGCAGCACGGCUGUCCUAGGAAAACGAAAGGAAAGCAACGAUACAGGGAAAUGGGGUGUCGCGACGGCAGCAACGAUGACAGCAAUAGAGAUUCCCUCAGGUAGACGGCACUGGCAGUCCUUGGGGAGAAAGGGUGGAUAAACACUUUACGAUGAUACUAUAGCAUACGACAUACAAAGACAUCCUUAGGUAGCAGACUCAUGGGGGAUGAAGCUUUCUUCGCUUUUGCCCCAGUGGAAAGAGAGAAUGCUAGCGCUUUUCAGUAGAAGAAGCCAAGCAAAACCUGUCGUUGCCAUUUUUGCUCUCCCAUUUACGCUCUAAACCCUCACCAAAUGUGUAAAAAGGCCGCACUCAUUUCUUCUUAGUACCUUCCUUCCUUAAACGGCUAUAAACUCCCAACUAUUAUUUGUUGUAGCGCCUAUAUAAUCGCACUAUGUCACCGGUCUGCUGGUCUAGCAAACAUUGGUUCCUUCUGCCUAUAUCCAUGUAUGUAUAAAUGUUUGCAGUUACAAACGUACAUUGGACCCGACGCCCAGUUUUAGAGAGCAGUUGCCAUCAACCAGGCUAACACACCGAUCGUGUUAACAAACGGGGGAAACCAUCCUAAAUGUUCUUGAGGAAACAUGGAAAAACCAAAGGAAACACUAGAAUUUGCAUCAACAGACGGGUAUAAGCGGACAGAGGAGCGAACGAGCUUGUGCCAUCCGACCUCUUUCCUUUGCUCAAACACCAAAUCCAUUUACCGCUACCCAACAAUGCCGUUUGUUGACAGUGAAGACAGAGAGAACUACGCAAGAAAUAACGGCAUCGGCAGCAACCGUUAGGACACUCCUUACCGUUUGUGCCCAUUGUUGAUUCUAACCAGAUCAUCGUCUAAUUAGCUGCUUCGCACUCAAACCUCGCGAGCUAUGCGUCCGGUAGUCCGAGAGGAGACCACCAGCAGAUUCUUAUUCUAUAGCCACGGCUUUCAAUAACAAAGUGAGUGCCUGCUGACACAAAAUACGAUACGACAGAGAGAAAAUAGUAGCAUUUGUGGAUUCGAACCAGAAAAGUUCUCGGCGGUGAAGUGAGCGGUCUUUUCUCGAUAGCAGUACCAAUCGAGACUAAAAAGCUGCGUGCUCCAUUGGGAAGUCAUAGUUAAUAUUAGCUUGUCUCUCGCGCGCCGGCAGCGGCUGUACAGGUGGCGUGAGUAACUACUGCCGUCGACAGCCUGAACCGCUGCCUAUACUCUUGCUGCUGCUAUUGCCUUCUGGUCCAGCCGGCCAUUAUCUGAAGCAGUGCAGCUUAAAGCUCUGUGUCUUGAAUGUAUUGUCUAGCAACGCUGUCAGCUGCGUUGUUGUCACAGCCGCUACGAGGGUCUUCUGCUGACGAGAGGGACAGUGAGCGGGAGAUGGCGGCUCGUGCUAGCUUGCAGCGCCGCACUGCACGGUAAUAAAUGUUAAGCCGGAAAUUAACAGCAACACAUACAAAAAGUUAUCCUUUAUUACUUAACAGGGGAUUAAUGGAAAGUUUAACUUCUACAACCGUCUUAUUUGCCCUCACCCGUGUAUGUGCGCGCGGGUGUCUACGUUAGCAUCGUUGUUAUUGGCGCUGUUAUUAGUAAGUGUUGCUUACUGUUGAAGCUAAUAUACUUGCAACUGAUGUUGCUGCUGUUGUUGUCGCUUUUGGCGAUGGCCGGAGGUUGGUGAUAGUAUUGAAGCCACUAUUUUUACACCUCAGAGGCGAGUGACAGCCUUCAUCAAAAGAGAGCGCUGUGCCAAUGAGUCAUCAAGUGAUUGAGAUAAAGGUGACAAACAAAAUACGACCGUAAGGCAAAUCCACCAGAAAAAUGGUAUAGAAGAUAAGCUCCAGAGAAAGAAUAAGCGAGAGAUAGAGACGGGGAGGAACGAAGAGAGAGAGAGGGAGUUUAGACGAAGUAAAAAUGAAAAAUGAUCAUACUCCUCGUUCCCAUUAGCGUGCCAUCUGCACUCUAUGCAGGAUUCUGAUUUCCAGACAAUACAUUGAUGACAUCAGAGUGACUCAAUAUUAGACAAAAAGGGAGAAAAGUAGGGUCAAAAUAAUCCUUUCCCAAUCAGGACCAACUACGGCUCAAUUAUAGUACGCAGAAAUAGACCAAUGUUUCAUGAACAAUUGCAGCCUAGAUACGUGCACAAGCAACUGUGGCUCAGGAUAUAGGAAAAAACGUUUCAUUCUUUCAAUUCGAUCGAUAUUCAUUGCUCUAUGGCUGUCGUUGUACUGUCGUAAAAUUAUACGUAGCUCCGGAUCUGUCUUUCCAUUCGCCGAAAAUAACGAUGUCGGUUCCUGCAGAAAUGAUGUUCUCGGAUUAAGUUCUACGGCACGCUCACAAGCACAGGCCUACAUACUGCGCUGAGAUUACUAACACGGCAGUCAUGCGGGAGAACAUUUUUUAUGGCAAUAUGUUAUAUAUAUAUAUUUAUACAACACAUAGUCUUUAAGUGUAACCUCAUCCUAGAAAUACCGUCCCAUAUCGUAUUUUGCUUGUCUGAUUUCUGACUUCAUAUUCUGUCGUCAUAUUUAAACUUUCGGAAAUGUUUUUAAAAAGCGUGAAUAAGGGAACUGUCUCCAUAAACAUUCGUCUGAUAUAUACUACCUCUCAUCAACAACUGGUUAUUUUUAUGGCAUACCACUGUUCGACGCCCACGGCGGUACAUUUAAAAAAACUUCAUGUUGCUUCAUUGCAACCGAUUGCGCCGUACAGAGGGAGGUCAAAACUGGCAGUUUUCGGGCGAUCGUGCCACGUUUACAUAACUAUCAGAAGUCAGUGGAUUUAAGGUACAAACCACUGAACCGUCCAUAAUCACACGAAACAAACUAAGGACGGAACUUCUUAACCUAACUAAGUUAUUCCUUAAAUUGAUCACUGCUCGAAACUAGGCACACCCUUGAAUGAACGUUAGCUGUGCCAGGCUAUGGGAUUGUCGUCUGCGACUAACGGCAACAAUGAUUAACCAACCGUAUGCUGUUCAUUACUUUUACAGAUUUAUGUUAAGUAAUAUUUAGUCUCCAAAUGUUCGGACGUUAGUUUAACGGUGCAAAUUUCUAAUUUUAGAUUUCUAAGCUCUAAAAGUUCGAGGCUUUUAAAGCUUUAGGUUCGAUGGUUGAUGAACUCCACUUCUCCACGAAAACAAUUUUUCUUCGAUAACGCGGGCUUAGAUUCCACAAGGACGUUACAGAUCGCGCCAGCACUCAUAUAGAUCUGCUAAUAACGACACUAUAUAUACAAGAGUUGUUAGAUUGCGCCGAUGGCGGAUAACCCUACGAAAAAUUGUCAAUCUUCAUUGAUUUACUUGAGUUCGUAUCCUUCAAUACGGUUGAGCCUUGAGCUAUAUCAAAACCUGUGUAGCACUAACCUUGGGACUCUGUAUGCUGAACAUGUAGCUUUUUACUUUAUGGCCGACAUUCAAUUUGAUAGGGUCUGGUCGCUGUGAGCACUGUCUGAAGCGUUAUAGUUCGAACUGGCAAGCUUACAAGAGCCGAACUAUGUAAAAACUACAUACCGUUCCGAAAUUUUCACAUGAACCAACAUUUUUUCCGUGCAUCACGAUAAAAACCAAUGGAACCCCUAUUUUUUUUUUGCAUGGAAAGUGGCCUGGAACAAGGAAGGAUUCAUUCACAUACCUAAAGUACCAUCGUAAAUCCACAUCUGUGUUUUGAUUAUAUAUAUCAAAUAUAUUAACUGUUCCCAUAUUUCAAUACACAGUUUCUUUGCAGGGGAACAUUGUGCCCCCCACUAAAUUCACUAAUUACUUUAAUUAGGCUGCUUAGUUCCGAAACUAUCGAGAUGACAUGAUCGUUUACGCCGUAUACGUUGCGAUGUCUAGUGGAGAGGGUUAACAUAAUCUUCAAAUUGACUUGAUUGUUCUAAGAUAAACUCUAAAUGAUUCCCUAAUAGCACACAAUGGUUUCUUAAUGACGGUCUCCAAAUGGCCUUUUAGUGAAGCCAAGAAGUGCUAGGUCAAAAAACCUACAGCACACGAUAGUAAAACUCGCGUUGCUCGCUUAACCUGUGGCUGUCUGCUAUACAAACUCGAGUCGGUGCACUGAGAUAUGCCUAACUCCCCAGCGCUUUAUAGCCUGUAAGCAUAAAGUAAUGAGUUACUACUACACAAGCUGCCAUUGAAUAAAUAGGAAAAAAUUAGUGAACAAUUGAGCAAAGUAAUGAAUCUCUAGAGCUAUGUGUUGGCCGAAUCCGUGACAUUGCUUAUUUAUUUGGCAGAAAUAGAAAUAAAGGUAACAAAAAUAUACGUUUAUAUUCGAAUCGUAAUUGAGCCAAAGUACCCUGUUCUCACUAGAUGAUUCGAAGUAUUAGGAGAACUAGGCACAGGGAAAAAAAAUCAGAUGCAAAGCAUGCUUUGCCUAGCAUGUAUGAGUGAGAGGAGCCUGUUUCUAAUAAAGGAUCGUUACAAUGGUCGUUACGUAAUAAUCUGUGUGUGCUCAAUUCUUCUUGUUAGACUUUUGGAAAAGCGUUUGCCCGUUUCCGUGCCGUCCCUUCCCAGUGUCUGUUCGCCUCUGUACACCGUUCUAAAGCGGGUUUUUUUCUCAUACGCCUGUCUCAACUAAGUUGUGUAAUAAACUAAAUUUCAUCUCGAGCUUAAACUCCACAAACGAGUGUGCCUGGUUAAAAGACAAAAAGUGCACUUCCGAUAUCUACGACAUUUCGGUUUUUGCAAACAUCAAAAAGCUACUGAAAGAAAUCGAGAUAUUUCUGGAUGAUUACAUUUUCUGGUAGUAAUGGCAUCUCUAAACAGGCGGAUGAAUCAUGUUCCGAUCAGCAACUUCGUGCCGGUAGAAACAAUCUUAAGGCGCCUUUGUAGGAAAACAUUAACUCAUGAACUGACCAAAAAGAUGCGUCGCCGUCACGUAACAACCUUAAAGCUUUACUGAAAAUUUAGAAACCUAGGCGCUCUACAAAUUGAGUAAAGCACUGAAGAUACUGAGACGUCUUACGCUCUGCCAUUGUCUGUGAGCACCUCACCCUGGCAUCGAGCCUUAUAAGACUACAGUCAUAGGAUUCCAGGAUUUGUUCGGGUGAGGAGAAAUGGUGGCAGACUUACCUUAGCCCAAGCUUGACUAAAAUCUCCAUAGGAAAGCGACCAUGGUUCGCGUUUAGAGGGACUCGUGCAGUGCGGGGGCUUGAGAAAGGCACAAUUUUAACAAGUUUAUGUGAUCGCGUCGUGUCGAGUCAAUAAUGGACAAGGCAAGACAGUGAUUUCUACGAAAAGUCAGGCCACACAUAGUAAAUAGGUCGCUAGUUCCAGUGGGAAGGUCCUCCACAUUUAUAUUCACCAGAGAUCGCGCCAACGGAUUACAUGUUUGUCGGAUCACUCGCAAAUGAAAGUCCUACUAAGGCACUAGACAACGAAGGUCUUAAAAACCGGCUGAAUAAAUAUCUUAUUGGACAGAUACGAAAAGUAAAAUAUAUUUUUAUAUAUCAAUUUUUUUAUUAAUUCGAAUUAGAACUCGUUAGGUAAAAAGGACUCUUAAUUUCUGAGUAACUUAAUCGUUAUAUAUAACAAAGCUCUGCAAAUAGAGCCAUUAUAUUGGUAAAAGGCUAACAAGAUGUGCCAUGUAUGAACCGUAUACAAAAUUCAGUAAUCAUAAGAUAUCGAAUUGAGUUUGCAGAUGUAACGUCCAGUGGACCAAGCUCUAUCCAAAACACGUGAAAUGAUGGACACACACGUUAGCGAAAACUGCCGAAAAUUACAUGCACUCUUGUCCAUAUUACUUAGCCCUUGACGUUAGCUUUUCAUUACGACCUUAAGGGAAGUAUGGGCAUAGGCUUUGUAACCGAAUCUGGAGUGUAGCCUGUUUAAUGGGCACGAUCUGAUUUUUUCUUUGCUCAUAAUCUAUUAUAUAGACAGUAUACAACGGCGAAAACUGAAUAUAUCCUAUCCUCAACAAACUCAAACAUGUCGGAGGCGCAGUGAUACAGUGAUUUAUAGUGAGGAACGAAUACAGCAAUAUCGGGUAAUUCGUAUUGAAUUUUUAUUUGAAAAUACUUAGGCUUGACUUAGUUUAUAUGCUAAAAACUAUGGCCAUGCCUGAUUUAAAAUGCUGGUUGCUGCUCCCCAAUACGAUGCGUACUGUGUAUGACUCGCCAAAAUUACAAGGAUAAUACACUCAUUCGUUUGCACCGACAUCAGGUAGAUACAUCUGAUUACCCGCCCCAUUACUUCAAUCAGGUGUAGCAUGGCUUAACGUUAAUGCAGAUACAUGCGUGCUAAGACAUAGAAUGGUUAAACGGUAAACGUUUUGUUAAUGAUAAUAACUGAAAUGCCACAAACAGUUUAAACAUGUCGCAAUCAAUUAUAAUUUGUCAGUGACUUGAUGCAAAACUUAUUUGCAUCGCUACUGUUUACCAGUAGGGCUCUAGGCUAACCCCUAUUGUAGGUGCCGGACCUAAAGGCAUGGCCGUACCCCUCUUAUGCACAUGAUUUCAAGCCGCUUUUAACAUUGGUCAUCCAUCGUCAAUCUAAGAUAAUCUUGUUUGGAAUCGAAAGAAAAAUCCUUUUGUUUGAUCAAAGCGCAUACGUCUUCGUCUGCAAAAGCAAGCCUUGCUAAUUGAUAGUCCCCACGAAGAACUUUACAAUUCCCCUGGAUGCGGAAAGAGUAAGCAGUUAUUUGGUCAGACGCUUUUAAGCAUCUCCCGACUAAAAGUUUUUCAAGUUGCUCCCUAGUGAGUACACUAAAUUGUUGAAGAAAGCCCCCUUGCUUCCUCCUCUCAGCACAGCUUGCCCCUUACAUAGCCUUGCCCGUGGCCCACAGCAAAGGUCGGCACGAAUAUUCGGCACAAUGAUGGUCGUGCCACCGAAAGAUUUUCCUUGUUGUGGGUACAGUCGCGUUGUUUCAUAAUUUCAUAUCAUUCCGCGACCACUAUUGCCGACGUCCCGCUCCGCAAGCUAAGUAUAAAAAGCUAAGUACGAGGUAGACGCAGUAGCAAAACGAGGUUCAAGUCUAGAGCAAUCUAACUGAGUAAUGUCGCUUCAGGCUAGGAACUGUUCGCUGCUAUCCACUUUGCUCGCACAUUUUACUUCCUUUUUCUCUUGGAGCGCUCCGAGUACGUACCUCUUGCCUCUGUAUAAGUAUACCUGCCCAUGUUUUUUUCUCUCUGUCUCUUUUCCCGAAGAAUGUAAAGGGGCCUUGAUGGCCAGACGGAGAGCGCGCUACCCUACAUUCACUGCAUCUAAAGAAACAUCCAAUACUGGAAACUAUAGAGGAAGCACAGAG